GAGAGAGGCCCGACGGCAGUAAGGACUGCUAAUCCUUUACCCCCAUGGUUAAACUCCAUGGCCCGCUCG
rnacentral:tRNA from 1 species